GAUGGUAUGGCCCAGUGGUACCGCGUGCGAUUUCUGAUCGCGGGCUCACUGGAUCGAAACAAGUUGGUGCUA